GAAACAUCAAGCCCUGAUGCACUGACUGCUGAGAUUUAAUUGCUCAUGUUUUGGCAAUCUGCUCUUGAGAGAUACUAGUAACAGUUGAUACUGACACUCCCAGGGUCACAGGCUGAACUUAUAAGCAAGCUGUAAAUAACAGUGAUCGGCAGCCGCCGCCUUCUACCCUCUGUGCCAUGCUGUCCUCCACGAGACCUAGUUCUGAGAUGAUAGAAGAGCAGGAAGCCAUCUGAUUUUAUGGACACUGCCUAUUACU